GAUGAACGCUGGCGGCGUGCCUAAUACAUGCAAGUCGAGCGAACAGACGAGGAGCUUGCUCCUCUGACGUUAGCGGCGGACGGGUGAGUAACACGUGGAUAACCUACCUAUAAGACUGGGAUAACUUCGGGAAACCGGAGCUAAUACCGGAUAAUAUAUUGAACCGCAUGGUUCAAUAGUGAAAGACGGUUUUGCUGUCACUUAUAGAUGGAUCCGCGCCGCAUUAGCUAGUUGGUAAGGUAACGGCUUACCAAGGCGACGAUGCGUAGCCGACCUGAGAGGGUGAUCGGCCACACUGGAACUGAGACACGGUCCAGACUCCUACGGGAGGCAGCAGUAGGGAAUCUUCCGCAAUGGGCGAAAGCCUGACGGAGCAACGCCGCGUGAGUGAUGAAGGUCUUUGGAUCGUAAAACUCUGUUAUUAGGGAAGAACAAAUGUGUAAGUAACUAUGCACGUCUUGACGGUACCUAAUCAGAAAGCUACGGCUAACUACGUG
rnacentral:rRNA from 1 species